rnacentral:rRNA from 1 species
UGGUAAAAUGUGAUGUACCUAGUAAUAUUAGUGAUUAAUAUGAGGCUAACCGAGUUAGUUAAAAUUCUAAGUAUAUAUGUGAUUAUGACAAUAUGUGCUUAUUUCUUGACCAAGUCACGUGCCAGCCGUCGCGGUAAUACGUGGAAGAUCAGUGUUAUUCAUCUUUAUCAGGUUUAAAGGGUACCUAGACGGUUAAUUAAGCUUUAGUAGGAACUAAUUAACUAAAGUUUAAUGUAAGAAUGAUUGAGUACGGUGAGUGUAGAGAUAAAAUUCUGUCAUACCACUUAGGAACUGGUAAAAGCGAAGGCAACUUUCUAUGUAAAAACUGACGUUAAGGGACGAAGGCUCGUAUCAAAUAACAGGAUUAGAUACCCCAGCAUUGUGGGCAGACAAUGAUGAGUGUCAUAUGCAAGAGAUAAAAAAAAAUAUUUUGUGUAUAAAUGAAAGUGUAAGCACUCCACCUCAAGAGUAACGUGGCAACAUGGGAACUGAAAUCAUUAGACCGUUUCUGAAACUCGUAGUGAAGUAUGUUGUUUAAUUAGAUGGUGCACAAAUAACCUUACCACAAUUUGUAUAACUAUAGUACAUAAUAAUAAUAUAGUUACAAGCGUUGCACGGCUGUCUUUAGUCUAUGUUGUGAAACUGUGGUUAGAUCCAUUAAAUAGACGUAAACCCUUACUUUAUUUAUUAUAAAGUAGUUCGCCGCUAUAUUGGUAGUGAUAUAAGGGACUAGGACAAGUCAUCAUGACCUGAACAUUGU